rnacentral:lncRNA from 1 species
GGAGGGGGUGCUCACACCUGCAUAGGAAUGGGUGCCAGGGCUCGUGUAAUGCAGAACUAAUUUGCCCUGCAGACUUUGUGACUUUCAGAUGAACAUUUCUUCCUUAAGAAAUGUUGCUUUCUACAGGAGAGCACGGUCAUGCAGUGAUGUUGAGGCAAGUGUGAGGACUAAGCUCUCCAGUGGAACUGGGAAAGGGGGACUUGCCUGCGGCACUUUGAAGGAAGCCUGUGCUGACUCAGUCUGUGAGUCCUGUUCAUUUCUGUUAGUGAGGGUCUGAAGCAGUUGGGCUCUGACACUCAGAAGGCAUCAAAUUAUUAUCCAAAAUAUCACAAGCCAUUUGCUUUUUACCAAAAGCCUCAUACUGAAGCCAUGAGUUUUUCCCUGAAAAGCAGCUCAGAGGCUGGUCCCCCAGGCAUGGGCACCUUGUAAAGCGUAUUUCUCACUUGUCAGUGAAAAGAAGGAAGAAUACAUCUGAGACCAGGCGUCCUACAGCUUCUGUGAAAAGUCUCCAUGGUGAAGUCCAGGCUGAGGCUCGCUGGGAACAGUGCACAGUGAAUGUUGUAUGGGGACUGGAUCCCAAUGAGUGAAUCCACAUCUCAGAGGGUUUCUGUCACAAAUAUACCCAGGUGUGUUUUGUUUUGUUUUGUUUUUUGUUUUUUGGUACCGGGGAUCGAACUCGGGUCCUUGGGCUUGCAAAGCAGGCGGUGGAACCAUUGAGCUAAAUCCCCCAGCCCAAUACCCAGGUUUCACUGCUGCUGUUCAGAAGAAUCAUCAGUCUAAGUCAGUUUUACAUCCUUCUGUUUGAAAGGAGGAUGAAAGUUCAACAAGCAUUUUCGAGCAGCAUGACAAACUUGUCUGAUUGCUCUGAAUCUGUUUUCAUUGUCAGGACUUGAACAGAUACGUUGUGUGAUCAAAAUAUACAGUGAAUCUUUAAAUUUUAAAGAACUGGGGGGGAAUUGAAAUGUUUUAUGUACAUGUACCAAUCCCAUACAAUGAGUAUAAUCAUUGAGUACUGGAAAGAUGUACUAAUAAAAGUCAAGUGAAUAAAAGUUUUAAAAACCUUCAAAAUAAAUUUAAAAUGUUUAUUAUAGUAAAAGGCACAUUGCCAUUAAUCCCUCUCAAAAUUCUCUCCCCUCUCUUCCAACACACCCCAUGGUACUUGAAACUUUCUGAAGCAGUUCUGGAGUCUUCUUUCCAGAGUGUCUUUAUGCAGUAUGUUCAAAAAUACAGUAAAUAACACUGCUGAGUUCCUCCAAUGGAAAGGCAGGCUCAUAAAAAUAAGAUGUCUUCACCUUAUUCACGGGAUUUGACACUGGGCAACUUCUGGCUCUUCCCUAAAGUCACAAUGUCCCUGAAACAUUUGAAUUGAUUCAGAACAUCAAGGCAGCCAGAACAGCACAACUACAGACAUUCACAAAAGAAGACUUCCCACAACUGCUUCAGAAAGUAGCAAGAAGGAUGGAAUGUGUAUGUUCAAAGUGAGGG